rnacentral:rRNA from 1 species
AACGAACGCUGGCGGCAUGCCUAACACAUGCAAGUCGAACGAGACCUUCGGGUCUAGUGGCGCACGGGUGCGUAACGCGUGGGAAUCUGCCCUUAGGUUCGGAAUAACUCAGGGAACUUGAGCUAAUACCGGAUAAUGACUUCGGUCCAAAAAAAGNUUUAUCGCCUAGGGAUGAGCCCGCGUAGGAUUAGCUAGUUGGUGAGGUAAAGCUCACCAAGGCGACGAUCCUUAGCUGGUCNGAGAGGAU